rnacentral:tRNA from 1 species
ACUCUAAUAGUUUAUUAAAAACAUUGGUCUUGUAAACCAAAAAUUGAAGACUCACCUCUUCUUAGAGUUA